GGAAAGGGGAAGAAAAGUCUAUGCAGAAGAAACAGGCAGAGCCGUUUUCACUCCUCCCUGAUCUUCGUCUCUUUCCAUCACAAGAAUUGCUGUCUGCCAGGCAUUGGAACAGAGCGCCUUUCCUUUCUUAGUGCCUGAGAGACAUGGAUGAGAGCAAGCCACCUGAGGCUCUGUUCAGAUACAACAGAGGUGCUGGUGUGCUUUCGGGGAAAACAACUGAAAGAUAUGAGGAAUGUGUCUCUCCCUUUGACUGGAUAUUUAGGAGGGGUGAUAUUUUUGAUUGGACCAACUGUAUGGUUGGAUGAGGGUAUUCAACUGUUUUUUGCUCUCUUUAGGUGUCUAAUUCAAUCCCCCUGUUUUUAGAUGAGAUUACUAGGCAUAUUUUUUCACCUUAUCUGGGUGGGAGAUGUCAGCUUUUUCUUUGUCAUGUGGAAUAUCUUACUUUGCUUCAUGCUUUCUUGCCUCAGGAUUAGACCAUUGCAACAUGCUCUACUAAUUCAGGAGUCUGGUAUGUCCUCUGCAAGGAUUGGUGCUGGCCUUGCCCCUGGUGGUUCUGGUUCACGCUGCAUGGGCCUAUGCAUGACUACAGUUAAUCUGUCCUGUCUCCCCCGUGACUUGAAAGAGAAGACUUUCAUUGUCUUCCUCGACUCUGACUUGCUGAAAGGGAAGCCAGUAGCUUCAGAGAUGCUCAAGCAAGGAAAUGUCUACAUGUACAAGGCUGUAAGAAAAGGGAAAAGGUAACCAGAGGCUGUGAAGCGAUAUGAUGGAGAGAUAACAGGCAGCAUCAGCCUGAGCCUAAAAAGUGCUGUGCAUCUGCAACUCCUACAUACUUCAGAUCCCACAUGAAAUACAGCAAAUCAACAGGCUGCAAGAGGCCCUUCUUCUGAAUCACUGCAUUUCUGCAACCAUGCAGAGUCUUGCAGAUGUUAUUCUAGACUGCAAAUCCCAAAUACCUUGGGCAGAGCAGGAAGAGGAAGUGAACAGACAGCUCAUGUUGGCUAUGUGCCAGAAAGCCAUGCUCUAGUGUCCCCGGGCUUCUGGCCUGUGGUUGCAUUUCCUGAAUUAAAAAUGAAUGUCUGCCAGUUGUUUCUCAGUUUAAUUUCUGCAGAUUAGACUAAUCUGCAAAGACUGAACCAAAUCAACCUCGGGCUUUUUGACCAUCUGUACUUAGUCUAUGAGGCUUUACUUUGAGACUCUUACUCCUCUUUAAUUUCUCUUUUACAAGCUCUUGCAGAAUUAGUUGUAUUGGACUGUUUGCCUCACUGGAAUUUCUUCUGGAUUCAGGCUUAUGUGGCCUUUGGCACUGCUUUUACUUGACCUUUGACCUUGAAAAAUAAUGUUUCUAGUUAUUCCCUAGCAGACCCUGAGCUGCUGUUUCAGACAAGCUUCUUCCCCAUUAAGGAGAUGAAGUAAAAAAAACUCUCUCUCGGUUCGUUUUCUUUGGAGGCUCAUUGAAUAACAAAUCCUUAGGCACACAUUGUUGGUGAGACAAAAGGUAUAUAUUUGCAAAUAGGGUCAGAGGGAGAAGACAAAAGAUCAAAACCCUCUGCCCCUGAGUACCAUCAUUAGCAGGCUUUUAUC
rnacentral:lncRNA from 1 species